CCGGGUGUGGCCCAGUUGGUAGGGCACUUGAUUUGGGUUCAAGACGCCGGGAGUUCGAAUCUCCCCACUCGGACCA
rnacentral:tRNA from 1 species